rnacentral:rRNA from 1 species
CCUACGGGAGGCAGCAGUAAGGAAUAUUGGUCAAUGGACGAAAGUCUGAACCAGCCAUGCCGCGUGAAGGAUUAAGGCCCUCUGGGUUGUAAACUUCUUUUAUCUGGGACGAAAAAAGGGUAUUCUUACUCACUUGACGGUACCAGAGGAAUAAGCACCGGCUAACUCCGUGCCAGCAGCCGCGGUAGUACGGAGGGUGCAAGCGUUAUCCGGAUUUACUAGGUUUAAAGGGUGCGUAGGUGGGCUUGUAAGUCAGUGGUGAAAUCUCCGGGCUUAACCCGGAAACUGCCAUUGAUACUAUAGGUCUUGAAUUAUCUGGAGGUAAGCGGAAUAUGUCAUGUAGCGGUGAAAUGCUUAGAUAUGACAUAGAACACCAAUUGCGAAGGCAGCUUACUACGGAUACAUUGACACUGAGGCACGAAAGCGUGGGGAUCAAACAGGAUUAGAUACCCUGGUAGUCCACGCCCUAAACGAUGGAUACUCGACAUCAGCGAUACACUGUUGGUGUCUGAGCGAAAGCAUUAAGUAUCCCACCUGGGAAGUACGAUCGCAGAUUGAAACUCAAAUGAAUUGACGGCUGAGACGAGCGACGACGACGACGAGGGAGGAGG